GAUGAACGCUGGCGGCGUGCCUAAUACAUGCAAGUCGAGCGAAUGGAUUAAGAGCUUGCUCUUAUGAAGUUAGCGGCGGACGGGUGAGUAACACGUGGGUAACCUGGCCAUAAGACUGGGAUAACUCCGGGAAACCGGGGCUAAUACCGGAUAACAUUUUGAACCGCAUGGUUCGAAAUUGAAAGGCGGCUUCGGCUGUCACUUAUGGAUGGACCCGCGUCGCAUUAGCUAGUUGGUGUGGUAACGGCUCACCACGGCAACGAUGCGUAGCCGACCGGAGGGGGUGAUCGGCCACACUGGGGCUGAGACACUGCCCAGACUCCGUCGGGAGGCAGCAGUAGGGAAUCUUCCGCAAUGGACGAAAGUCUGACGGAGCAAUGCCGCGUGAGUGAUGGAGGCUUUCGGGUCGUAAAACUCUGUUGUUAGGGAAGAACAAGUGCUAGUUGAAUAAGCUGGCACCUUGACGGUACCUAACCAGAAAGCCACGGCUAACUACGUGCCAGCCGCCACAGUAA
rnacentral:rRNA from 1 species